CAGCAGCCGCGGGAAAACGAAGGGGGCUAGCGUUGCUCGGAAUGACUGGGCGUAAAGGGCGCGUAGGCGGCGGCCAAAGUCAGGCGUGAAAUUCCCGGGCUCAACCUGGGGGCUGCGUUUGAUACUUGAUUGCUAGAGUGGGGAAGAGGGUCGUGGAAUUCCCAGUGUAGAGGUGAAAUUCGUAGAUAUUAGGAAGAACACCAGUGGCGAAGGCGGCUCACUGGUCCGGUACUGACGCUGAGGUGCGAAAGCGUGGGGAGCAAACAGGAUUAGAUACCCCUGUAGUCCCUGUCUCUUAUAC
rnacentral:rRNA from 1 species